UACAUGUGGGGCAAGCGUUGUUCGGAAUCACUGGGCAUAAAGGGUGCGUAGGUGGCAUGACACGUCCUGGGUGAAAUCCGGCGGCCCAACCGCUGGUCUGCCUGGGAUACGGUCAAGCUGGAGUGCGUGAGGGGUGACUGGAACGCGUGGUGUAGCGGUGAAAUGCGUAGAUAUCACGCGGAAGGCCAACGGCGAAGGCAAGUCACUGGCACGCAACUGACACUGAGUGCACGAAAGCGUGGGGAGCAAACAGG
rnacentral:rRNA from 1 species